GGUGGCUCAGUGGCAGAGAGCUUGCCUCAUAUGCAUGAGGUCCUGGGUUUGAUUCCCCAGCACCA
rnacentral:tRNA from 1 species